AGAUUGAACGCUGGCGGCAUGCCUUACACAUGCAAGUCGAACGGCAGCACGGGGGCAACCCUGUGGCGAGUGGCGAACGGGUGAGUAAUACAUCGGAACGUGCCCAGUAGUGGGGGAUAGCCCGGCGAAAGCCGGAUUAAUACCGCAUACAACCUUUGGGUAAAAGUGGGGGAUCGCAAGACCUCACGCUAUUGGAGCGGCCGAUGUCAGAUUAGGUUGUUGGUGGGGUAAAAGCCUACCAAGCCGACGAUCUGUAGCUGGUCUGAGAGGACGACCAGCCACACUGGGACUGAGACACGGCCCAGACUCUA
rnacentral:rRNA from 1 species